rfam:Cephalotus follicularis DNA, scaffold: scaffold442, isolate: St1.
AAGCCAUGAUGAGGACACUCUAAGAGAAGAUCCUUAAAACGUUCCAUACACCUAGAAAAUGAUUCAUUUGGCCUUUGACAAAACUGGAGGAUGUCGUUCCUAAGUUU